rnacentral:misc_RNA from 1 species
AUAAACUUCACUAAAAAUCAUGGCGUUCAUUACAUAAUUUCAAUCAAACUUGGUACAUUUCUGUUCGCCUUGACCAUAAUUUGGACCCACUUGCUUGUAGGCCUUUGACCCAUUUAUCUUUAUACCUGUCCUAGACUAAAUAUAAUAACUAAUAAAUGGUGAAAAAUAAAGACAACAAGGGCGUAGGCCCAUUACAAAUGAAAUACAAAAAUAUAUACGGAAAAAAAAGUUGAGGUCUUUUAAUCCCAACUUCUUCAACUCUUCAACUCGCUUCCAGUUCUUCAUUUUUGAAACAUGUUCACCUUGUAGGGAAUGAUUGACUCGAACAAAAGGAAGUUAAGCCUCUACGACUCAUCAAUAAUGCAAGGGAAAAUUUGAGUUCAUAAUGAACUCGGUCAAUCUUGUUGAUGGUAACGAACUGUGGAUGGAACGAGCAGGGGAAACAACCUUUCCCAUAAGAAAAUUGAAACGGAAGCAACAAACGAGAAAAUCCCUGCAUGAUAAUGAAAUCAAAAUGCUGGAAAUUGUUGUCUCGUACACUUAGUAUGCGUUACAUAUUUCUUAUAGCUUCUCUUUUUUUCCGCUUUAGUCGAGGAAUUUCAAUCUGAAAGAAAUUUCUUCCUAACUUUCGUUGAACUUUAUUUCAACAGAAGAAUCUCAAAAGCAUUUAGCAAGUCUCUCCAAAAAUUCCUAUCUCUGUGAACUCUUUUUUUCGCUAAAAAAAUCCGCCCAAGAACAGUGAGAAAGAGAAUACUUAUAGAAAUAUAUUAGGAUUUUUGGAUUUUGAGAGGGGAAAGGCGAGGGCAAAAUCAAUUUUUACCAUAGCUUUG